rnacentral:rRNA from 1 species
GAUGAACGCUGGCGGCGUGCCUAAUACAUGCAAGUCGAGCGAACGGACGAGAAGCUUGCUUCUCUGAUGUUAGCGGCGGACGGGUGAGUAACACGUGGAUAACCUACCUAUAAGACUGGGAUAACUUCGGGAAACCGUAGCUAAUACCGGAUAAUAUUUUGAACCGCAUGGUUCAAAAGUGAAAGACGGUCUUGCUGUCACUUAUAGAUGGAUCCGCGCUGCAUUAGCUAGUUGGUAAGGUAACGGCUUACCAAGGCAACGAUGCAUAGCCGACCUGAGAGGGUGAUCGGCCACACUGGAACUGAGACACGGUCCAGAAGCCUACGGGAGGAAGCAGUAGGGAAUAUUACGCAAUGGGCGAAAGCAUGACGGAGCAACGCCGCGUGAGUGAUGAAGGUCUUCGGAUCGUAAAACUCUGUUAUUAGGGAAGAACAUAUGUGUAAGUAACUGUGCACAUCUUGACGGUACCUAAUCAGAAAGCCACGGCUAACUACGUG